UACGGAGGGUGCAAGCGUUAAUCGGAAUUACUGGGCGUAAAGCGUGCGUAGGUGGUUCGUUAAGUCCGUUGUGAAAGCCCUGAGCUCAACUUGGGAAUUGCAGUGGAUACUGGCGAGCUGGAGUGCGGUAGAGGAAGGUGGAAUUCCCGGUGUAGCGGUGAAAUGCGUAGAGAUCGGGAGGAACACCAGUGGCGAAGGCGGCCUUCUGGACCAGCACUGACACUCAAGCACGAAAGCGUGGGGAGCAAACAGG
rnacentral:rRNA from 1 species